rnacentral:rRNA from 1 species
AAGACAGGUGGUGCAUGGCUGUCGUCAGCUCGUGUCGUGAGAUGUUGGGUUAAGUCCCGCAACGAGCGCAACCCUUGUUAUUAGUUGCCAGCAUUAAGUUGGGCACUCUAAUGAGACUGCCGGUGACAAACCGGAGGAAGGUGGGGAUGACGUCAAGUCAUCAUGCCCCUUAUGACCUGGGCUACACACGUGCUACAAUGGGCAGUACAACGAGAAGCAAGCCUGCGAAGGCAAGCGAAUCUCUGAAAGCUGUUCUCAGUUCGGACUGCAGUCUGCAACUCGACUGCACGAAGCUGGAAUCGCUAGUAAUCGCGGAUCAGCACGCCGCGGUGAAUACGUUCCCGGGCCUUGCACUCACCGCCC